UCAUUUCAACCCCUAAGCCUAGCUUAUUGUUGGGAGGCUGCAGUAAAAUGCACCUCCUCAAAGUCAGUGGCGGAGAGACAGUGUCCUCUGAGCGUAGUAAAUCUUUUUCUCGCUUUUGUCAGGUGCUGCCCCCCUUGCCAUAAAACACCCAAUUUUUAAUGGUUGACCUCGGAUCAGGUAGGAAUACCCGCUGAACUUAA
rnacentral:misc_RNA from 1 species